UACCGUUUCUCAUAAAUACAGUUGAAUACUGUAAAUAAACAUUAAUAUGACAAACAAAAUAAUAACAGCAAGCUCCUGUUCAGUCUUACGGGAUAAUACAGUAUUUUUUGGUUUGGUCAGGCAUGUCAGACAUGUGACGAGCUCAUCUGCAACCAUGAGUAAAACUGAUUUAACUACACUGUUUUUCUGCAUUUUAUUAUACGAGAAGGAAGCAGAAUUAAAGACUGUCUAUCCAUUUUCACUCCGAUUGUGACCCUACCAGCACUGAGACGGACGACGAAUUCACUUGUUUUUUACUCCUCGCCUGUAUAUCAAGUUGCUGGUGAUGAAGUAACAUUUGGAGGUUGGAUGAUCAGCAGUGAAAACAUCAUCAUCUGUGAAGGCAAGAUGAAGCUGCGAGGACACUGGAGUUUGUUCAAAGAUGCUUAAUUGGUGUGAACCCUAAGAGGUGAACAAAAGCCAGGCAGGUGAAGGUGUCCGAGAAGACAGGAAAGCUUGUCCAGAAAAACGCAGCAACUGUUAAUCCCCAUGUGACCACCCUCAUCAAAAACUUCAUGGACUUUGAGUGGCUUUCACAUUGUAUUCUGCAGUGUUGUGAUAUUUAUGUGACAUCACAGCAUUAUGUUUUAUUCAGCCCAGUCUCAUUAGUGAGGCAGAAACUGACAUUUAAGAAUGCACUGAAUUUUGUUAUAUUUAAUAAAAACAGUGUUUUAUCAUCAUCCUUUGUU